CAUAUCACGUCAUACCACAUUACCUUUUAAAAGUGCCCACAGUCAAGAUUAAGUCCUCUAUGGGUGCACCACGGAUUCUAAGACAAACUACUCCUGAACUUCUGAAUAUUGCACUAUAUAUACUGGAUACAUAUAACUUGGUGUAGCUCUAGUCAUAUAUGUAUUAAGAAAUUAUAAAAUCAACCAAUAAGACAUUUUAGAAUCAACCGAAUUUCUAUUUCACAAUAAUGGGUUGAACCUUUCUAUCAAUCAGCUUUCACGUCUUUCAACAGUUUGACUGUGACAGAAUUCAGCUCUGGAUCCAUCAUCAAUACUGUAAAUGUAGCAUUCAGCUCCCCCUCUGUCCCUAAUAUCACGGAGAUUGGCACUGUUUUGAUAAAUGCUGCCCAAAACAUCACAGCUUUCAACAUUGACCCCUCCUCAGUGACAGUCAACAGCACAGCUGCAGCCACAAAAAUACUUACCAGUGCAAUAACAACGAGUGGCUUAUCGACAAGAACUGGUGAACCCACUACAACCGUCACCAGUGUGUCGACAAUGAGUGGUGCAUCAACAACUGCUGUUACAGCUGAACCCACUACAACUGUCAAUGAUGCACCGACAACAACUGGUGAACCCAAUACAACCAUAACUGAUACAUCAACAACAACAACUGGUGAACCCACUGAAACCGUCACUGGUUCAUUGAAACUAACUGGUGAAUUCACUACAACCGUCACUGGUGUGUCGACAACAACUGACAAACCAACUACAACCAUCACUGGUGUGUCGAUAAAGUUUACAGCUGCACCCACUACAAACGUCACUGGAGCAUCAACAACAACUGGUGAACUUACUUCAGCCGUUGUUGGUGUGUCGACAACAAGUUACGAAUCAACAACUACUGUUACUGCAGCACCCACUAUAACCGUCACGGGUGUGUUGACAACAACAGGUGAACCCAAUAUAAACGCUACUGGUGCACCAAAAACUACUGAUGAACCCACUACGACCAUCACUCGUGUGUCGACAACAAGUGGUGAACCCCCUACAUCCAUCACUGGUGUGUCGACAACAACGUUUACAACUGUACCCAUUACAAACGUAACUGGUGCAUUGACAACAACUGGUGAACUUACUUCAACUGUCAUUGGUGUGUCGUCAACAAGUUAUGCAUCAACAAUUACUGUUACUGCAGCACCCACAACAACCGUGUCGACAACAACUGGUGAACCCACUACAACCGUGUCGACAACAACUGUUGAACCCACUGCAACCGUUACUGGUGCAUUGACAACAACUGGUGAACCCAGAACAACCAUUACUGGUGUGUCGGCAACAACUGGUGAACCCACUGCAACCAUCACCGGUGUGUUGACAACAACGGUUACAGCUGUACCCAUUACAAACAUAACAGGUGCAUUGACAACAACUGGAGAACUCACUUCAACCGUCACUGGGGUAUUGACAAGAACUGGUGAACCCAGAACAACCGUCACUGUGGUGUCGACAACAAGUGAUGCAUCAACAACUACAUUUACUGCAGCACCCACUACAACCGUCAUGGGUGUGUUGACGACAACUGGUGAACCCACUACAACCGUCGAUGGUGUGUCGACAACAACUGAUGAACCAAUUACAACUAUCAGUGGUGUGUUGAUAACAAAGUUUACAGCUGCACCCAUUACAAACGUCACUGGAGCAUCAACAACUGGUGAACUUACUUCAACUGUCAUUGGUGUGUCAACAACAAGUGAAGCAUCAACAACCACUGUUACUGCAGCACUAACUACAACUGUCACUGGUGUGUCAACAACAACUGGUGAACCCACUGCAAACAUCACCGGUGUGUUGACAACAACGGUUACAGCAGUACCCAUUACAACUGUCACGGGUUUGUCGACAACAACUGGUGAACCCACUACAACCAUCACUGGUGUGUCGACAACAACUGGUGAACCCACUGCAACCCUCACCGGUGCAUCAACAACUAAUACUACAGCUGCACCCAUUACAACUCUCACUGAUGCAUCAACAACAAUGGUUACAGCUGUAUCCAUUUUAACCGUAACUGGUGCUUUGACAACAACGGUUAGAGCCGCAGCCACUACAGCCGUCACUGGUGUGUCGACACCAAGUGAUGCACCAACAGCUACUGUUACUGCAGCACCCACUACAACCGUCAUGGGUGUGUUGACGACAACUGGUGAACCCACUACAACAUUAACUGGUUCAUCGACAACUACUAGUGAACCCACGACAGCCGUUACUGGUCCAUUGACAACAUCUGGUGAACCCACUACCACAAUCACUGGUGUGUCGACAACAAUGGUUACAGCUGUACCCAUUACAACCGUAACUGGUGCAUUGACAAGAGCGAUUACAGUGGCUCCAAAUACAACCAUCACUGUUGUGCCGUCAACUACUGAUGAACCCAAUUCAACUGUCACUGGUGGGUUGACAACAACUGGUGAACCCACUACAACCGUCACUGGUGCAUCGACAACAACGGUUACAGCUGUACCCAUCACAUCAAUAGGUGGUGCAUUGACAACUGGAGAACUCCCUUCAACCGUCACUGCUGCUCUUGCAACAAGUACUGUUCCUCCUACAACUUCUGUUACAACCCCUGUGGCUGGUACUACCACCACAACAACUGGAGAACCUGUUACUGUUCCGGCUACCGUUCCUACAACUAGGCCCACAACUACAACCACUACAUACGUGGCCCCCACAACUACAGUGUCAAGGACAACAUCACCACUGUCAACAACUACCAGCACAGCUCCAACUACCACAACAACCAACGCACCAACCACUACUACAACACCUACUACUACUACUAGUACAACCACUACUACAACACCUACUACUACUAGUACAACAACAACUACAACUAAAACAACAACUGCACAUCUCCAACCUGCUCCACUGGUGGUUUUCGUCAUACAACAAGUGUUUGUAGAAGCUUUAAAUGACCCUCAAAGUCCACAAUUCCAAGAACUUGCAGUAACUAUUACUGCAGUGUUUGAUGUGAUCUACAAAGCAAAAUAUGGGAUCCUUUUCAUCCGGACAAUUGUUAUUGGAUUCACACCUAUUUUCCGUUCUCGUAUGGAUGCAGAAACACAGGCGGAGGUCCAGCUAGUGUUCAGUGAGACCUCCACUCAAUCUGUCCCUGAGGUUACUGACAUUAGCAAUACACUGAAAGAGGCUGUGACCAAUCCAAACAUUACCUUUGGCAACCUCUCUGUGGAUGUUACCACCAUCAUUGUUAAAGUGCCCACCACAAAUGCCAACUCAACUGCAACGGUAACUCCUGUCAUCACUACUUCCAUCAUCACAACUACAACCACUGAAACUACCGCUGUGGCACUCACUAAGGUGACUGUGGUGUUCAGGUCCAGAGGAGAGACAUUUACCUCUGAUCUAUCAAACCCAUCAUCUCAGGCCUUUCAAAGCCGAGCAUUACUGAUUAAAACUCAGGUUGAACCUUUCUAUCGAUCGGCUUUCACCUCUUUCAACAGUUUGACUGUGACAGAAUUCAGCUCUGGAUCCAUCAUUGAUACUAUGAAUUUAGCAUUCAGCUCCUCCUCCGUCCCAAAUUCCAAGGAGAUUGGCACUGUUUUGAUAAAUGCUGCGCAAAACAUCACAGCUUUCAACAUUGACCCCUCCUCAGUGACAGUCAACGGCACAGCUGUGACCUCAAGUGGAGUAAGCAGCAAGACCAGUCUCUUCACAGCAUUCUUUCUGGUGGUUCUGUCUCUGCUACUGUCAAGCCAGCAUUAGUCUCAGUGGUAACGCCCACUUGGUAGUCAUAUUUUCACUUUGAGAACUUCCCACACAUUCCAACCCCUACAUAAAUUCCACCCAUGAUUUGACUAGUCUCCAAAAUGAAAUGAAGUCUUGUAAGCUGACAUAAGAUACAGUCUAUGUGGCAGUUGAACACAAUGAUGUGAUAUAAUUACUGCCUAUUCAAUCAAAAUGUGUAAGUGCAUGGGUUUCCAUCAUAAGUCAAUGUUAUUUCCAUGCAAUGACAAAGCAUGUUUGAUUUAAUAUGCACUUAUUUUUGAUUCACUCUGUUGCUGAUAUGAACUAAAACAUUGAUUCACUCUUGCUGAUAUGAACUAAAACGUUGAUUUACUCUCUUGCUGAUAUGAACUAAAACGUUGAUUCACUCUUUUGCUGAUAUGAACUAAAACAUUUAAUCACUCUGUUGCUGAUAUGAACUAAAACAUUUAAUCACUCUGUUGCUGAUAUGAACUAAAACAUUGAUUUACUCUCUUGCUGAUAUGAACUAAAACAUUGAUUCACUCUUGCUGAUAUGAACUAAAACGUUGAUUUACUCUCUUGCUGAUAUGAACUAAAACGUUGAUUCACUCUUUUGCUGAUAUGAACUAAAACAUUUAAUCACUCUUUUGCUGAUAUGAACUAAAACAUUGAUUCACUCUUGCUGAUAUGAACUAAAACGUUGAUUUACUCUCUUGCUGAUAUGAACAAAAACAUUUAGUCACUCUGUUGCUGAUAUAAACUAAUGAGAGCAAUAUUAUAUUUCAUAUUUUGACUUAACCAGUGAAACCUGGAUAACUGAUUUAAAUAAGGCCCUUUGGAGCAAAAUGUUCAAAGAUUUAAACAAUUAUGAAUGUAGUCUUCAUCAUGUAUCUGUUAUACCAUAUAAUGCAAUUCUGUUAUCAAUUGUCCUGAUAUUGUGCCAGUGUAAGGUUGUCUGCUUUUUCUGGAGGUACACAAUCUUUAAUACAUGUCUUUCUCUCGUGAAGAUUCAGGCCAUUGUAUUGUUUACUAUUUGUUGACUAAAUGAGUGGAUUGGAUGACAAGGUAAAGUAUGGCUCCAAUUGUGAUGUUUAUCUGACUAUCUGGCUAUACAAUACUGGAACAACAAGACUACACUAGAUCAGUCCAACACAUCCACGUGUUACACAGUGAGGGAGUGUUGUGCCCCACUGGUGUAGACAGCAGUUAGUUUGUUGGUACAAUAUUUGCUCUCCCAGAGAUCGAGCUUUGAUUGGAUCUCACAUGCGAGAUAUUUGCAUGCAAAAUGCUCCUCACUUCCUAAUCAGUUCGCCUCGCCCCAACUAGAUAUAGACAAACAGGUAGCUAGUUCAUGAUUCAUUCAAUUUGAAAAGUGGAUACCAGCGUAGCAUGCCACUUUGAAGUCGCAGCCCCUUCAUUAUCCGCUACAAGACCAUGGUGCUUGCCUACGGAGCUGUGAAGGGAACGGCACCUCCAUACCUUCAGGCUCUGAUCAGGCCCUACACCCAAACAAGGGCACUGCGUUCAUCCACCUCUGGCCUGCUGGCCCCCCUACCUCUGAGGAAGCACAGUUCCCGCUCAGCCCAGUCAAAACUGUUCGCUGCUCUGGCACCCCAAUGGUGGAACAAGCUCCCUCACGACGCCAGGACAGCGGAGUCAAUCACCACCUUCCGGAGACACCUGAAACCCCACCUCUUUAAGGAAUACCUAGGAUAGGAUAAAGUAAUCCUUCUAAACCCCCCCCCUUAAAAGAUUUAGAUGCACUAUUGUAAAGUGGUUGUUCCACUGGAUAUCAUAAGGUGAAUGCACCAAUUUGUAAGUCGCUCUGGAUAAGAGCGUCUGCUAAAUGACAUAAAUGUAAAUGUGAUUAUCAAUGCAACGUGCCGAAAACAUCAAAGAGCCUUCCCAGACUCUGGAGUAAAACAGAUGUGUAUCUUUCGCCAGACAAACACUAGAUGCCAUUCCACAAUAAUGGCUCAGAUUAACCGAUGACUGUAGAUGUAAAGAGUAUGAUAUCUCUGAAAAACUAAACUCGUCAAGAGUGUUAUGACAGGAAACAUCUUGUCUGUCAUUUCCUUGUAUUUAAUAGGAUUCUACUGUGUGUGUGUGUGUGUGUGUGUGUGUGUGUGUGUGUGUGUGUUAUUAGGUACUGAACCUGUUAUCAUAUAAUGUGUCCAUAGUAUUUAAACUACUGUUCAAAAGAGGUCACUUAGAAAUGUAAUGGUUUUUCAAAGAAAAGCAAUUUUUUCGUCCAUUAAAAUAACAUCAAAUUGAUCAGAAAUACAGUGUAGACAUUGUUAUUGUUGUAAAUAACUAUUGUAGCUGGAAACGGCAGAUUUUUUAUGGAAUAUCUACAUAGGCGUACAGAGGCCCAAUAUCAGCAACCAUCACUCCUGUGUUCCAAUGGCACGUUGUGUUAGCUAAUCCAAGUUUAUCACUUUAAAAGGCUAAUUGAUCAUUAGAAAAUCCUUUUGCAAUUAUGUUAGCACAGCUGAAAACUGGUGUUCCUGAUUAAAGAAGCAAUACAACUGGCUUUCUUUAGACUAGUUGUGUAUCUCGAGCAUUAACAUUUGUG
rnacentral:lncRNA from 1 species